rnacentral:tmRNA from 1 species
GGGGUGGUUUUAGAUUCGAUUGCGGGUGGUCUUUUAGGAAAAGCAUACCAAAGGCUCGGCUUUGUAAAAACGGAAACUUAAAUUUAAAUGCAGAAUCCAAAGAUUCUAAAGUAAUGGCUAUGCCCGCUUUCGGCGCUAGCCUUGCUUGCGCUGCGUAACUUACGCGGUCCGUCGCUCUUAUUUUACCGUUGAAUAAACAGCGGCGUUAAUUAAACGGUCAACUUAAAUUAAAACCUUAUCGCGCUUUAGUUUAAGUAUUUAGCGAUACGCUCGUAUAUAAGCCCGUUCGUCGGCGUAUAUGCGCUAAGCUAAACGGCGGAAUAAGUAUGUAGAAAGCUUAAAAAAAGCUCGUAAGACCAGGGUGCAAGUCCCUGCCGCUCCACCA